rnacentral:tRNA from 1 species
CCGCUCGUCGGCAAACGGCAAGCUACCUCUCUGCAAAAGAGGCACCAGUGGUUCGACUCCACUCGGGCGGUCCA